rnacentral:rRNA from 1 species
UAGGGAAUCUUCCGCAAUGGGCGAAAGCUUGACGGAGCAACGCCGCGUGUGUGAUGAAGGUCUUCGGAUCGUAAAACUCUGUUAUUAGGGAAGAACAAAUGUGUAAGUAACUAUGCACGUCUUGACGGUACCUAAUCAGAAAGCCACGGCUAACUACGUGCCAGCAGCCGCGGUAAUACGUAGGUGGCAAGCGUUAUCCGGAAAUAUUGGGCGUAAAGCGCGCGUAGGCGGUUUUUUAAGUCUGAUGUGGAAGCCCACGGCUCAACCGUGGAGGGUCAUUGGAAACUGGAAAACUUGAGUGCGGAAGAGGGAAGUGGAAUUCCAUGUGUAGCGGUGAAAAGCGCAGAGAUAUGGGGGAAAACCAGUGGCGGAAGCGACUUUCUGGUCUGUAACUGACGCUGAUGUGCGAAAACGUGGGGAUCAAACAGG